rnacentral:sRNA from 1 species
AUAUCUCUCUGUACGGGAAGGAUGAGAAGCUUCGACCAAGGUUCGAUUCGAGCGCAGCGAGAAAGCGUUGCCGCAGGCAACGACCCGAAGGGCGAAGCGCGCAGCGCUGA